rnacentral:rRNA from 1 species
ACGCACGCUGGCGGCGUGCUUCACCCAUGCAAGUCGAACGGUGAAGCGCCUUCCUUUUUGGUGGGUGUGGAUGAGUGGCGAACGGGUGAGUAACACGUGAGUAACCUGCCCCCUUCUUCUGGAUAACCGCAUGAAAGUGUGGCUAAUACGGGAUAUUCUGGGUCUGUCGCAUGAUGGGUCUGGGAAAGAUAUUGUUUCGGUGGGGGAUGGGCUCGCGGCCUAUCAGCUUGUUGGUGGGGUGAUGGCCUACCAAGGCGGUGACGGGUAGCCGGCCUGAGAGGGUGGACGGUCACACUGGGACUGAGACACGGCCCAGACUCCUACGGGAGGCAGCAGUGGGGAAUAUUGCACAAUGGGCGCAAGCCUGAUGCAGCGACGCCGCGUGAGGGAUGGAGGCCUGCGGGUUGUGAACCUCUUUCGCCAGUGAAGCAGGCCUGCCUCGUUUGUGGGUGGGUUGACGGUAGCUGGAUAAGAAGCGCCGGCUAACUACGUG